rnacentral:lncRNA from 1 species
UGUGUGGGGGUUCUGGUCGAGCAAAAGGGGAGCAAGGGGGAUGAACCCUAGUUUAACAAAAUUCACAAGAAUCAAGUGAAAUCUUGAGAAAAUUGAAAGUAUAAACAACGAAUUCUAAGCUCCUACAUCUGUUCUUCGAAUUGGCAUAAAGGAAGAAGGUCCAAGCUCUAAGAAGUCGGAAGGCCCUCAGGAUCGAGGUAUGUUUCGUAAAUCCUCACUUUAGGCGAUCUGGAGAUUGGAGCGAGCACAUGUCCAUAUCUUGUUAUACCGAACGCUUCCGCUAGCUUAUUCGCAUCUUUUGGUCCAUGACUUGUUAUUUUGUCUAACUUAGUUAGUAGUCGUACAUGUGUAAUACUUGUUGACUUGUUUUUAGUAGUUUUUAUAUCAAACGGUUCGUAGAAUGUUAUUUAGUGUAUCAAGUUUAAAACAGGGGGCAUGUCCGUGUUUCGAACGGGUCAUGCCCAAUUUUUGUAAAAUUUUGUUAUGUACAAAGUUGGUAUUUUUGAUGUCUAUUA